GUGGUUGACCGCGAGGCCUCAUGGGAUCAGAAGCCAAUCUGGGCUCAGGAAGGGGAUGAAAAAGUAGCUAAACUUUAUUACCAUUUCGCCAAGGUCAGCAUUCAGGGAACGUGGCCUUCGGGGCUGCUGACUCAGAUGUCACCCUCUAACACAGAGAGAGCCUGGGCUUAAUCCCCCCCAGCUCUCCCUACCAGACCAAAGUAUUUACCCAGCUCGCUCAGAGCUCGCUACAGCCUCCCUUCGGCCUUCCCCCGGGGCCCCGCAUACUCCUCCAGCUUGCCUUCCGGACAGCCUCACUGGUUCCAUCCCCUGGUGGGACCCAGUGCUGCCACUCUGGAUCCCUCUGUCUGCUUUCAAGCACACAGCGAGGGGCAAUGAAGGAGUGAAGGCAUCACAGCCCGGGGCUGGGACUCCAGCUCUGACACUGGACAGGGCUGCGUGUUCCGGGAGCGCCAGUGGCCAGCACUCAGAGGUUUGUGUUACCCUCCAGAGAACCACCAACCCAGGGGGCCAAAGCAGCAUCACUGUCUGGGCUCCAAGACGCGGCAGCCGAGGCCUGUUUAUCUGGCUUCUUUAUAAGGCACAUUUCACCAUCAAGAUGGAAAAUCUCCAGCGCUGCUUUCCAAAGGGUGGCCAACCAAGCGGCAGUGCAGCUCAGUGGAAAGAGCCAGAGGCCAUGGCAGGACCCCACUCUGCCACGUAUUAGCUGAGGAACCUCGAGCCAGCGGCCUAACUUCUCUGAACCUCUGUUUCCAUAUCU
ensembl:lncRNA